rnacentral:rRNA from 1 species
GACGAACGCUGGCGGCGUGCUUAACACAUGCAAGUCGAGCGGAAAGGCCUCUUCGGGGGUACUCGAGCGGCGAACGGGUGAGAAACACGUGAGUAGUCUGCCUCUGGCUUCGGGAUAGCCACCGGAAACGGUGAUUAAUACCGGGUACGACACAUCACUGCAUGGUGCGUGUGUGGAAAGUUUUUUCGGCCAGGGAUGUGCUCGCGGCCUAUCAGCUUGUUGGUGGGGUAAUGGCCUACCAAGGCUUCGACGGGUAGCCGGCCUGAGAGGGUGACCGGCCACACUGGGACUGAGACACGGCCCAGACUCCUACGGGAGGCAGCAGUGGGGAAUAUUGGACAAUGGGCGGAAGCCUGAUCCAGCAACGCCGCGUGAGGGAUGACGGCCUUCGGGUUGUAAACCUCUUUCAGCACAGACGAAGCGCAAGUGACGGUAUGUGCAGAAGAAGGACCGGCCAACUACGUGCCAGCAGCCGCCGUAACAC